CUUCCUGUUCAGGAAAAAUCCACGUUUGCAUUUGUCCGCUCUUUUUUGCUUAUGAAAUCUCAUUUGCCUUCCUCUACUGUGGAGCACAGUGAUUGAGACUUCAGCCACCCAACUACUGCAUGUCCCAGGAAUGGCUCCAGGUGCUGAAGAUACAGCAGUGAACAAACAAUCCCAAAUCCUGUCUUUGGAGAGUUUCUCUUCUAGCAAGAACCUUCCUUAUCAAAAUUUCAACCCUUGCUCAUCUUAGCCAGUGGUUUGGAACCAAACACACAGUAUCUCUGAGGUAUGCCAGAAUUUGAGAUAUCUCUAAAUGAAAUACAAGGCUUCAUUCCUGACUUUGCUGCAAAAUGUUUUAUUGGAAAAGAGAGAAUUGGACAUUAAGCUGAGGAAACCUGUUGAGGAUGAAGCAAUGAGGAAGAUGCAUCUGUCAAGCAGCUCUAAGAAAUAUGAUUCUUCUCACUCACCGAGACCUUGGGGCAGGCUGGAUAUUUGAGCUCUAGGGGAGAAGGCCUGAGGGAGCCAAGCAAAUGUGCCAUUGAGUUUUAUUAUGUUCUGGUCUGCACCCUUGGGAAUGGGGCUAAUGCUGUCUACACUUCCGAAUUCAG